GGAAGUGAGCGGGCUCCUGGGUAACAUAGUUCAAAGGUACAAGAUUUCUAAUUACACAUAUGGUAUAGGAUGUACAUGUAUUAUUAUACAAUAUAUUUCCAUGUUUGUCAUGUUGUAAAAGAAGAGACAUACCUGGACUUUGCAGUGGGGUUGCUUUCCUCUUCAGGGGUUAAACCCAUGGUUUAUCCUGGUUUGCUCAUCUAGGUCGGGAGGAUGGAGUCCUGCUCCUAAGCUAGGCAGAACAGUUAUAUGAGAAAUCCUGAAUAUAAUAGCACAGAUUAAGCCCUCCUUCAUGGGACUUUGGGGCUGCUGUAGUGCUAUCUCUACUUGGGGGCAUUUUUCCUGCAUUGGUCCUGGUACUUGGCACUCAUCCAGCAACCUGGCUGCAUCCCUAACCAGUUUUUCUUGCAGUGACUCCAACACAAAAGGUCUCUCUGAGUUUUCUGUGUAUGUGUCUCCUUUCUCCUGUUUUCACCAAGGAGGGGACAAGGCUGUGUGAGUUGGGAGGAACGAACCUAAUCCUUUUUGGGACUUCUUCUUUUGGGACUUCCUUUGGACCUGGGUCUUUCUGACAUGUUUGAUAUAGAAACAAUAUGCAGGUGUGCUUUUCCUAGUUUGAGUGCCCAGCGUGCAAAUUCAAGCUGUCUGCGAGCCCCUAGAUUACCAGAGAGAGUUGAGGGAGAAAGUGCUUGCUUUGGGUGGCUGGACGGAGGGGUGGGGCAUGCAAAAUAUGUCCUUGGGUGCUGGGAAGAGGACGAACUGGCAGCUCCUGGUGUGUCGGCUCAGCACGUAUGCCAUGUCUUUGCCAAUGCUGCAUGAUUAUCCUGGGUCCUCAAUUCUCUGUCUUCUUUGGCGAAGUGUCAGAUUUGUCACUUGCCUUUCUUGCUGUUUGUUCCAUAUGAUAGAUAGUCCAUUUCCUGAAUCCAGUUGUUUUCUCUGGCCAUCUCCCUCCACAUCCCCGCCUCCUAAACUUUCCUGGAUUCCUUCAAGUCUCAGGCCUUGAUGAAGAGAGGAGUUGUGGAAUUGUUCAUGAUCUCAGACAAUAAGGAUGACUGGAGCAAAGGCAAAAUGGAAGGUGGUGUACACAUAUUAUAAUCUCUCAGAUACAUUGACAUGAAAAGCUAUAAGGUAGAAUAAAAGCAUUAGACCAAUAGGAAACUGAAUCA
rnacentral:lncRNA from 1 species